rnacentral:rRNA from 1 species
CAAUAGCGUAUAUUAAAGUUGUUGCAGUUAAAAAGCUCGUAGUUGGAUUUCUGGCUGGGCGCCGAUGUGACACAAAGUGCUCACAAGGCACCGGCCAUCCUUCUGUAAACUAGGUUAGUCUUUGAUUAGACUGCUUAGGGAUCAGAUAAUUUACCUUGAGAAAAUUAGAGUGUUUCAGGCAGGCUUAGCCGGAAUACAUUAGCAUGGAAUAAUGGAAUAGGACUAUGGUCUCGUUGUUGGUUUGAGGGAUCGCAGUAAUGAUUAAUAGGGAUAGUUGGGGGCAUUAGUAUUUAUUAGCUAGAGGUGGAAUUCUCUAAUUUAAUAAAGACUAACUUAUGCGAAAGCAUUUGCCAAGGAUGUUUUCAUUA